AACGAACGCUGGCGGCAGGCUUAACACAUGCAAGUCGAACGCCCCGCAAGGGGAGUGGCAGACGGGUGAGUAACGCGUGGGAAUCUACCUAGUUCUACGGAACAACAGAGGGAAACUUCUGCUAAUACCGUAUACGCCCUAAGGGGGAAAGAUUUAUCGGAAUUAGAUGAGCCCGCGUAAGAUUAGCUAGUUGGUGGGGUAAUGGCCUACCAAGGCGACGAUCUUUAGCUGGUCUGAGAGGAUGAUCAGCCACACUGGGACUGAGACACGGCCCAGACUCCUACGGGAGGCAGCAGUGGGGAAUAUUGGACAAUGGGCGCAAGCCUGAUCCAGCCAUGCCGCGUGAGUGAUGAAGGCCCUAGGGCUGUAAAGCUCUUUCAGUGGGGACGAUAAUGACGGUACCCACAGAAGAAGCCCCGGCUAACUUCGUGCCAGCAGCCGCAGUAAGAC
rnacentral:rRNA from 1 species